AUAAAUAAGGGACUAAAGAAAAUGAAUGAAUGACUGAUUAUUUCUGUCAGUGCAACAGCGAGAGACAAGACCCUGCUGCGGUGUCUGGGCAUCACACACAUCCUGAACGCUGCAGACGGGCCUCAGCACAUACACACCGGCGCAGAGUUCUACUGGGACACACACGCAGAGUACCUCGGUAUAGAGGCGGCGGACAGCAGACACUUCAGCAUCACACCCUUCCUACAGCCAGCCGCGGAUUACAUCCAUCAAGCUCUGCAGGAUGGAGGGACGCUCCUGGUUCACUGUGCGAGAGGAGUGAGUCGAUCCUCCACAUUAGUUCUGGCGUAUCUGAUGAUCUAUGAACAUCUCAGCAUCGCAGACGCCAUCGCUGCCGUUUCUGCACACAGGAAUAUUUUACCCAACGCUGGAUUCCUGCAGCAGCUGCGAGUGCUGGACGCCAGCCUCAUGCAGAGAGAGACACAUCCACACCCACACUGAUUUAAAUAAAAGAAUUAAAGAAUAAU